rnacentral:piRNA from 1 species
UGGCGAAGUCUCACCUUUCACAGCCCCUA